UCUCUGAUGGCGAGUGGCGAACGGGUGAGUAACAUAUCGGAACGUGCCCAGUCGUGGGGGAUAACGCAGCGAAAGCUGUGCUAAUACCGCAUACGAUCUAUGGAUGAAAGCGGGGGACCGUAAGGCCUCGCGCGAUUGGAGCGGCCGAUAUCAGAUUAGGUAGUUGGUGGGGUAAAGGCUCACCAAGCCAACGAUCUGUAGCUGGUCUGAGAGGGCGACCGGCCACACUGGGACUGAGACACGGCCCAGACUCC
rnacentral:rRNA from 1 species